rnacentral:lncRNA from 1 species
CACUGAAAUGUGCAAUGUCACGAAGCCGCUUGAAGCCAGAACGACGAAGUUUAAGCAAAUCCAUGUACAAAGCAUCAUUCCCAUGCUGGCUGAACUGCCCCACUUGCAGCUCCCAUAAACACUAGCGCCACAGUUCCCUCCAGUAAUUAUUCUGUGAAGCUCUAUG